UCCCAUGACUGCCUUGGCUCUAUGCUCAGCUUGAGCCUGAAUCAGGCGUGCUGUGAGUGGCUUCUGUAUAGGGCGCAGGCGUCUAGAAUAGGCGAAGGUUGGUGGUGCCCAAAACCUCAGAGAUGCCAGCAAUCGCGGAGCCCCAAGUGGUGUUACAGCUCUUGCUUGGGGAGUCCCAAGGUUUGGGCCCCAAGAAAAGUUGCAGCUCUUUACUCUCGUAGCUCAGCCAGUGGGAGCGUGUUAUAGCUGUCUUUCUCCUGUAGUCCGGUGAGCAGGAAUGUGUUAUAGCUCUUUCAUUCCAGCCGCCCACAGCUGAGUGAGUUCCAAGUUCUUGUCCUGUGACCAAGAGGAAUAAGGUGUGUGGACACUGGAGAGUAAGUAAGGCAGAGAAGAAUUUUAUUGAGCGACAGAAGGAAAGCCCUCAACUGUGAAAAGGGACCCUGAAAGUGGGUUGUCAUCUGUGAGGCUGAGUCUGGGCUUGUCUGGGUUUACAAUGGGAGAAUGUGUGCUGAUUGGUCCAUAGGUGUUCUUUGAAAAAAUCACCAUCCAAUUGGUUAAAAAGCAUCAUCCGGAAGGAACCAAUCAAGAGAGAGAAGGUCUGAUAAAUUGACCCCAGUGCUCAUCUAUUAAUUCAAAAGAAGCUUUGUGCUUGCAUCAGCGCUGCCUGACACAGGGGAAAAUGAGAAAUGCGGCCAUUGAUAUACAGAGAACGGCAAUGUGGCUAAACUGAAGAGAGUAGGCUUUUGGCCAGCUACUUCCAACAUGGCUCAUUUCAAAUUCUCACUUGUUCAACUAAAACAAAAUAUUAAUGAAUCUGCUGAAUAAAGCUUAUAAAUGCUGAAGAAUUAAUAAGGGUGAAAUCUGAAGGGCAUAAGGAUAUUUUUUUCAAUAAAUUCUCUUUGACCACUCA